rnacentral:rRNA from 1 species
UACGGAGGGGGCGAGCGUUAUUCGGAAUUAUUGGGCGUAAAGGGCGCGUAGGCGGCUUGAUGUGUCAAAGGUGAAAUCCCUCGGCUCAACUGAGGAACUGCCUUUGAAACUGUCUGGCUUGAGGCCGGGAGAGGGUAGCGGAAUUCCCAGUGUAGCGGUGAAAUGCGUAGAUAUCAAGAGGAACACCUGAGGUGAAGACGGGUUGCUGGGCCAACACUGACGCUGAUGCGCGAAAGCCAGGGGAGCGAACGGG